rnacentral:lncRNA from 1 species
AGUGGCCUGGCUGCGUUGGGCCGGGCUGUAAGGUGGUGGUGAUAGUUUCUGGGUGUUGGUCUAGGUGGAGAGGCAGAGGCAGGAAGAGCCUGCAGUGGAGGAGUGGCUGUGGUUGUUGAGGUGGUGCCCCUGCUAGGCCAUGCCCAGGUUCCGGAGAGGGCGGAGUAGAUAACAGCGGAGCCGCUCUGCCCUCCCUACAGACACAGGAAGCAUCCCAAUAGACUACCAGGAGGACACAAGCAGUGCCAGCACACCACGAUUGACAGAAGCCUCAAGAUGGAUAACAGAGCAGCCACAUUUUAGGAGAUGGAGUAGAUCGAAGGACAGCACAUUGACAUUACAUUUCAUGACACAAAAAAAGAAAAAGAAAAAAAAUCAGGUGAGGGUUGUAAAAAAACAAGAAUGUUAAGGGUUUGAUAGUUAACCUGGCGGCUGCAUGGGGCCCAGAACCCAUUCAAUAACCUGGACUUGAACACAUCCAGUUGUUUGUCUUUCACAAAGAAAUCCAUUAGAAAGUUCCCUCUCCCUGGGUUUACAAUGCGUUUGCCUUGUACCACAUAAAUCAUGCCCAGACUAGGCCCCCUGCCUACUGUGCUCUCCCAUUUGUCAUGCUUAUUCACAAAAACACCCA